rnacentral:rRNA from 1 species
AGCUACGGGGGGCAGCAGUGAGGAAUAUUGGUCAAUGGUCGGGAGACUGAACCAGCCAAGCCGCGUGAGGGAGGAAGGUACAGAGUAUCGUAAACCUCUUUUGUCGGGGAGCAAAAGACGCCACGCGUGGCGUUCCGAGAGUACCCGAAGAAAAAGCAUCGGCUAACUCCGUGCCAGCAGCCGCGGUAAUACGGAGGAUGCGAGCGUUAUCCGGAUUUAUUGGGUUUAAAGGGUGCGCAGGCGGAAGAUCAAGUCAGCGGUAAAAUUGAGAGGCUCAACCUCUUCGAGCCGUUGAAACUGGUUUU